rnacentral:rRNA from 1 species
UGAGUACGAGAUGCUACGGCAUUGAAGCAGUCUAUGUCAUACUUCCAAGAAAAGCUUGCACUGUCAUAAACAAAGAAUGCCUGUACCAUAACCGACACAGGUGGGUAGGUAGAGUAUACUAAGGGGCGCGAGAUAACUCUCUCUAAGGAACUCGGCAAAAUGACUCCGUAACUUCGGGAGAAGGAGUGCCUUAUUUUUAAGGUUGCAAUAACAAGAUCCAAGCAACUGUUUAUCAAAAACACAGGUCUCCGCUAAGUCGUAAGACGAUGUAUGGGGGCUGACGCCUGCCCAGUGCCAGAAGGUUAAAGAAGUUGGUUAGCAUUCGCGAAGCUGAUAACUGAAGCCCUGGUGAACGGCGGCCGUAACGAUAACGGUCCUAAGGUAGCGAAAUUCCUUGUCGGGUAAGUUCCGACCCGCACGAAAGGCGUAAUGAUUUGGAUACUGUCUCGGAGAGGGACUCGGUGAAAUAGACUUGUCUGUGAAGAUGCGGACUACCUGCACCUGGACAGAAAGACCCUAUGAAGCUUUACUGUAACUUGAAAUUGAAAUUGGACUUUAGUUGCGCAGGAUAGGUGGGAGGCGUUGAGAAUAUUCUUGCGGGAGUAUUGGAGCCAUCAGUGAGAUACCACUCUUCUAAUGUUAGAUUUCUAACUUUGUAUCAUUAUCUGGUCAAAGAACAGUUUCGGGCGGGCGGUUUGACUGGGGCGGUCGCCUCCUAAAGGGUAACGGAGGCGCACAAAGGUUUCCUCUGAACGAGUAGAAAUCGUAUCUAGAGUGUAAAGGCAUAAGGAAGCUUGACUGUGAGACCUACAAGUCGAGCAGGGACGAAAGUCGGUCUUAGUGAUCUGACGGUGCUGAGUGGAAAGGCCGUCACUCAACGGAUAAAAGUUACUCCAGGAUAACAGGCUGAUCUCCCCCAAGAGUUCACAUCGACGGGGAGGUUUGGCACCUCGAUGUCGGCUCGUCGCAUCCUGGGGCGGUAGUACGUCCCAAGGGUUGGGCUGUUCGCCCAUGAAAGCGGUACGCGAGCUGGGUUCAGAACGUCGUGAGACAGUUCGGUCCAUAUCCGGUGUAGGCGUUAGAAUAUUGAGAGGAGCCUUCUCUAGUACGAGAGGACCGAGAAGGACAUACCUCUAGUGUACCAGUUAUCGUGCCAACGGUAAACGCUGGGUAGCUAUGUAUGGAGUGGAUAACCGCUGAAAGCAUCUAAGUGGGAAGCCCACCUCAAGAUAAGUAUUCUCACC